CAAAACAGAGAAGAGUGAGAGUGAAGGAGAAAAAUGCCAGAGAGCAACCAGUAGUCAGAGAACUCGAGGAGAUUUUCAUGAGUGAGUCUCUAGCAUGGUGAAGGGCAGAAAAACCCUGGGAAGGAGAGAAACAGAGAUACAGACUUUCGAACUGUGGUGCUGGAGAAGACUCCUAAGAGUAUCUUGGACAGCAAGGAGCUCAAACCAGUCAAUCUCAAGGGAAAUCAACCCUGAAUUCUCAUUGGAAGGACUGACGCUGAAGUUGAAACUCCAGUACUUAGGUCAUAUGACGUAAACAGCUGACUCAUUGGAAAAGUCCCUGGAUGCUGGGAAAGAUUGAGGGCAGAAGAAGAGGGCUUCAGAGGAUGAGAUGGCUGGAUGGCAUCACCAACGCAAUGGACGUGAACUUGGGCAAACUCCAGGAGAUGGUGAAGGACAGAGAGGUCUGGCUUACUGCAGUCCAUGGAGUCACAAAGAGUCAGACACAGUGCAUGACUGAACAACAAUAGCAUCCAUUUUUUUAAGACCCACCUGAAUCCUAAAAUCUUCCAUGAAAACUUCUCUUCCCACUACAGAAUGAUAUCAAAGAUCAUAGAGUUUUAUGACUUCCUCAUAGAGCAAUCCUAUAGGAUUUCUCUAUGAGAGUGUGCUUUAUUGAGUUGUUGUUGUUUUUGUUUUUAAUGCCUUCUCUCUUUUAAUGAGACACCACACGACACUGCAGGAGUUACUUUUUGAGAAUAACAGGAUUUUUUUUUGCUUGUUUUGUUUGGGGGUUUGUGCUGUUUUUAUUUUAUUUCAUUUAUUAUUUUGGCCACACCAUGAAGCAAGUGGGAUCUUAGUUCUCCGACCAGGAAUCAAACCUGUAUCCCCUGCACUGGAAGUCUCAACUGACUGAUCACCAGGGAAGUUCCUGUUUUAUUCAAUUCUGCACAGCACUAGCAAACUUCUCUUGUUCAACUAUAUUCGUUACUUUCUAUCUCCUUCACCACACUCCAAGUUCCUUGAGGGCUGAGAUUCGAGGUGAGGUAUAGGGACUCAUUAAAUAUUUACUCAAUAGCUGAAGUAUAAGUGGCUUAAUUUUUGGAAGUCAACACCUCUUGCUAGUUUCUAUAGCUAUCUUCAGAUAAUCUGCUGUACACCCACUUGGGGUGCAUAUAAGCUACACAGACCCACCUGGACUGUAAUGAAUCUUUGGGAGACAGUUUCUGAAUAUCAAAUUUAUAAAAAGGUUCUUCAAGCAAUUUUAACAUGCAUUAACUUUUAGAAUCAGAGAUCAAGCAGAGUGAAGCCAUUUCUCAUUAUUCACAUCCCAUCGUUUCUCCCUUUUCCAUAUUUUCCCCUAGUAUAAAAACCUUCAAACUGACACUUGCUGAGAUUCUGGAG
ensembl:lncRNA